rnacentral:ncRNA from 1 species
UAAAGUUUGAUUCUGGCUUUAAAGGUUGCUUUUUCUAAAAAUUGUAUGCUUUAUUUUAUUUAAUAAAAUUUGGUGCAGUAAUUAAUAUUAAUUUUUACUUAAGUAGAUUUAGUUAUAGAAUAAAUAGAGGGUUAAUAUUGUGCCAGCAUCCGCGGUCAUACAAUAUUCUAAAGUUACUUAUUUCAGUGAAGUUCUUUUUCUUUGUGAAUUAUGUUUAACAUAACAAAGGUGAAAUUUGUAUUUUUAUGUAGAUUUUUUUUAAGACUAGAUUAGAGUAUUUAAAAAACUGGGAUUAGAUACCCCACUAUUUUACUUUAUUUUUCUUGGGUAGUAAAAUUAAAACCUAAAGAAUUUGGCGGUUCUUAAACUUACUAGAGGAACCUGUCCUGUAAUCGAUAGUCCACGAUUCUAUUAACCUACUUUUGUUUCAGCUUAUAUACCGCCGUUUAGUGAACUAAAUCAAUAGAUUCUCUCAAUUAAUUAGUUAAAUAAAUCAGGUCAAGGUGUAGCUUAUGAGUAGGAAGAGAUGGGUUACAAUGAAAAUUCACACGGAUAGAUUUUCUUAGGUUAAUCUUAAAGGCGGAUUUAGAAGUAAAUUUUAAUUAUUUGAAGAAAGCUCUUGAGAAUGUACACAUCGCCCGUCGCUCUCUUGUCUGAAGAGAUAAGUCGUAACAAAGUAGAUUAAUCGGAAGGUUAAUCUUGAAAG